rnacentral:rRNA from 1 species
AUCUUCCGCUAUGGACGAAAGUCUGACGGAGCAACGCCGCGUGAGUGAUGAAGGGCUUCGGCUCGUAAAACUCUGUUGUUAAGGAAGAACCCAUGAGGUAGUAACUGGCCUUGGGAUGACGGUACUUAACCAGAAAGCCACGGCUAUCUCCGUGCCAGCAGCCGCGGUAAUACGUAGGUGGCCAGCGUUAUCCGAAAAUAUUGGGCGUAAAGCGCGCGUAGGCUGUAAAAUGAGGCUGAUGUGAAAGCCCCCGGCUCAACCGGGGAGGGUCAUUGGAAACUGUUUUACUUGAGUACAGAAGAGGAGAGUGAAAUUCCAUGUAUAGCGGAGAGAUGCGCAGAGAUAUGGAGGAACACCAGUGGCGAAGGCGGCUCUCUGGUCUGUUACUGACGCUGAGGUGCGAAAGCGUGGGGAUCAAAC